rnacentral:rRNA from 1 species
UACAGAGGGUGCGAGCGUUAAUCGGAAUUACUGGGCGUAAAGGGUGCGUAGGCGGGUCUUUAAGUCAGGGGUGAAAUCCUGGAGCUCAACUCCAGAACUGCCUUUGAUACUGAAGAUCUUGAGUUCGGGAGAGGUGAGUGGAACUGCGAGUGUAGAGGUGAAAUUCGUAGAUAUUCGCAAGAACACCAGUGGUGAAGGCGGCUCACUGGCCCGAUACUGACGCUGAGGCACGAAAGCGUGGGGAGCAAACAGG